AUUGAACGCUGGCGGCAGGCUUAACACAUGCAAGUCGAACGAGUGGCGGACGGGUGAGUAAUGUUUGGGAAUCUGCCUUAUGGAGGGGGAUAACUACGGGAAACUGUAGCUAAUACCGCGUACCAUAGGAUGAGCCCAGGUGGGAUUAGGUAGUUGGUGGGGUAAAGGCUCACCAAGGCGACGAUCCCUAGCUGGUCUGAGAGGAUGACCAGCCACACUGGGACUGAGACACGGCCCAGACUCCUACGGGAGGCAGCAGUGGGGAAUAUUGCGCAAUGGGGGAAAGCUGACGCAGCCAUGCCGCGUGAGUGAAGAAGGCCUUCGGGUUGUAAAGUUCUUUCGGUAGGGAGGCGUUAACUACAGAAGAAGCACCGGCUAACUCCGUGCCAGCAGCCGCGGUAAUAC
rnacentral:rRNA from 1 species